UUAAAAAUGGAGGAGGAAUUGGUCCGAUCAGCCAUGUAAAAACUGGUCCGAUGAAAGAGAAGUUUGGACCGUUUACUUAUGUGCUAGCAUAGGGCAAAAAAGAGAAACGGACCAUUCCUAGCAUUCUAUUGCAGCGCUCUCUCUUCGUAUUUCUUGCGUUGUGUGCGUGAAGAACCGGUUCAAACAGUGUUAUUGUCAUUUCGAAAAUGGUCAUUUAUUGAAAAAUUUGGAAUACAAAAUAAAAGCAAACUGACAUUCGCAUUAGCAGCAUCAUCUCAGAAUUCUCAGUAUCAUUUACCAGCAUCAUAAUUUAUAAAUUACCGUCGUUUUGGGUGAUCAUGAAAUUAUUAUUAAAGUGUUAGGCUGUCUACACAUGAAUCCGCGGACGCCGCGGUCCGCGGAAAACACGUCCCAAGUAGAAAUUGUCAAGCGAAAUAUAGGCCCGAGGGGGUGAGAAGGGUAAAAAUUUGCUCGAAUCGUGAGAUGGAAGAAUCUUUGCCGUAAGUAAGAGCAGGACGACGAUAAAAGUCUAUGAUGGUGUUGGUGAACGUCAGCCAUCCUAUGGCGGCAUUUUCAAAACAAAAACAAAUCGUAUGUCCUAACGAAUAUACGCUGAACGUAUAUUCAUAUUUCCUGCGUGUUUUGAGUGUUUUGUGGCUCCCAUUUUGGUGAAAAAGUGUUUAAUAAUGUGUAAUAAAAAAAAUGUUUAGAGAAAAGUAGAGUGUUAUUCUAACAUGCUGAAGUUAUUUUGGGACAGUUUUGAAAGGAAUCAGAAGCAGAUAAGUUAGCGCCAGUUCAGAAGGACUAGCAAAUGGGAUAGCCGGACGUUAAAGCGGAAGUACAGGAGUGUUCUAGGGGAAUAGAUUUACGAAACGGAGUGUUCGUAGACGAACGACAAUUGGAAUCAAGCCGGGACGGAAGAAGAGGGAGUAUAAAACCACCAUUCAAUGUGCCGCUACGAGUUGAUAAACAGUUGAUAACUGUUGUAGGAUGUCUGUUGAAGGCUUGUAAAGUGUUCUUGGAUAUUGUUUUCGGUAAGUAUUAUAGCAGUGCAAGAUAAUCAUUUGCCUACUUUAUCGUAAUGUCUUUUCUUCUUGGCUCGUUUUAGGUCCACCCGAAAUAGUUUGUAGGAAACCCACUCACUAUUGCGACAUCCGACUGAUUAAUCUGCAUUUGGCUCGAUCAAUGAGCUGGCUAUGCUCCUAUACGCAUCGUGCGGAACGGAUAGCUGAAGAGCAACGUCCUGGGAGGACAUGAGCCUUACUUCUUCUAACAGUUGCACAUUAGCGUUUUUAGAAUUAGAAUUUAGAAAAGAAUUAGCAUAAUUGUUUAGUCAAACAGCUUAACUAGCUCUCUACGCAAGCGUAUGUGUCGUCAAUUUAAACAAAAAUAGUGAACGCGUAGAUUACCUUUCGCAGGAUAGUCAUGUAGAAGUGAACAGAUAUGAUGUAGGUAACUAAAGUUUCGCUAUAAAGGAUAGUGUUUUGUAAACUGCCCUCAACGUAUUAGUCAGAUUUUUGUAAAAAGAAUAUAACUAUACUAUAAGCUAGAACAGUAUCGGUUCAUUACGCCACAUAUAUGUAGAAUAACAGAGUUUAAGAACUAGAUAAGGCAUGCCGAAACUUCGCCAGGUUGAAAAAAACAUGCGCGUAUAUUUUAGUUAAAAUAAUGGUGAUUACGUAUAGGGCAUAGUAAGGAGUUGUCCUUUCCUACAAAAAAUGUAAAGCUUUAAAAAAUAAGAUACGUUACGUAUUGUACCGAAGGCAUUGUUUAAAGCGAUAAGAAACUGUCUACAGAUUCGUAAGAUCAAUAAAUUACAAAAUCAAAUUUAAUUUACAUAAUCGGUUUAUCAUUGUAAUACCCAAACAAAAGAAAAGCUAUCACGAACAUAAACAAUAAAAAACGAUUUCGGCGUUCCACCGUCUAGAAAGCACCAAACACAUUUGUUUUGACGCCAGCCGCAGAUCGAUAAAAAAGAUCAUGUGAAUAGCAGCGAUCCCGUUACAACCAUGGACCAUGCCUGAAACCUCGGUGAGUAAAGAAAUUUUCUCUAAUUAAAAAAUAUAUGUUCUCUUCCUAUCUCAUUCGCAAGACGCAAAUCUAAAAAUAGAUCGGAUAUCUACAACAGUCGCGCGCGCUGUUGUAAGGAAUUAGAAGCAAGCAAGAAGGAUAGGAUCACACAUAACCUCUUUUUUUCGCCUACGGUAAGGCCGGCUGACAAGUAGGUGUAAAUGUGUUCGUGUCGCCAUGAUUUCUCUUGUGUGCGUGCCAUCCCACCUCCGGAUAAGCUGCCGAUCCGCAAAGUCCAUUGAAAAAAGCCAAAAAACUGCUCGAUAUUUCUACUUGGGGUAUAA